CGAGAAACCUUUGCAAUGUGCGCAAGCACGACAAGGUUAAUCCGAGUGUUUCCUGCUAAAGGAAUCUUUUGUUAGUCCUAAAAACACUAGCGAAUAAGGGGUGGGCAAGUUCUGGUGUCAGCCGCCGCGGUAAAACCAGCACCUCAAGUGGUCAGGAUGAUUAUUGGGCCUAAAGCAUCCGUAGCCUGCUUUGUUAGUUUUCGGUUAAAUCCAUUCGCUCAACGAAUGGGCUGCCGGGAAUACUGCAAAGCUAGGGAGUGGGAGAGGUAGACGGUACUCGGUAGGAAGGGGUAAAAUCCUUUGAUCUAUUGAUGACCACCUGUGGCGAAGGCGGUCUACCAGAACACGUUCGACGGUGAGGGAUGAAGCGUGGGGAGCAAACCGGAUUAGAUACCCGGGUAGUCCCAGCUGUAAACGAUGCAGACUCGGUGAUGCUCUGGCUUGUGGCCAGUGCAGUGCCGCGAGGGAAG
rnacentral:rRNA from 2 species